UCUCCAUUUUCUUCAUCAUCAUCCUCGUCGUCGAGACUUUUUCCCAAGCCUGAUCUCUCCCAAAUCGACUUCUUCCUCUCCUCUCGCGAUUCCUGGCUUCACGUCCUCAAACAGAUCGUCAAGGGCGAUCUCAAAUAUCCUCUCAAAUCUGAUUUCAUCAAACUCGUCUUCACCUUUGACAAACUCCAAACCUCCAAUUUUUACUUCUCCAAAAUCAGUCUCACCAAUCCCAAUCUAUUAGCUCUCCUCUUCGGCAAUUACGUCCCCGAUCUCAAAAACUCCAUGAAUGUUCAAUCUGAAAUGCACAACAUCGACUCCAAAUCCAAUCGUCGCGACUACUUCUCUGCUGGUUGAGAACUUGAAAGCUCUGCUUGAGGUCGAGAGUCAAGCGUUGAUUCAACAACAAUAGCUGCUUUAUAAUGGGAAAGAGAUGAGGAAUGUUGAGAUAUUGAGUGGUCUUGGUGUGAAUGAUGGAGAUUUAGUGAUGAUAGUUUCACAUGCAUCUUCUAGGUAAUUCUAUUACAUUCUUUUUAUGGGUUUGUAUUUUGUGCAAGUUAUAAGACAAGCUUUGAAUUGUAAAAGAGCAUAGCUUUAUGGGUUUAACGGGUUCUAUGGAUGUGUCCAUGAUUUGAUGAGAAAUGAUAAAAAAUGAAGUUAAAGAGAACUAUCUUGUUUUGCAAUGUAGUUUCUAACUUAAAAUAGUAAAAUUUGGUGAGAAAGAAAAUGAGUGGUUAAGUAUUUUUAUAAUACCUACUAGGAAU